AUCUAUCACUCACACCAAAAAAAAAAAAAAAAAAGGCAGGGGAAGGGGUGGGGGAGAUUGCCCAUAUCACAUUUAUUUUGGGUGGAUGAGGCUGCAUUCGGAAGCCCCAGUCUAGGGGUGGCUGCCAGCACUCCAUGUGUUUACUUUUGUUUAGUACAUCAGUUUCCUGGUGGUCCUAAGCUUCUGUGCAGUGUGCAGGUGGAGGCCUGGCAUGUGCCCUUGGCCACAGGCUUCCCUGUUGUAAUGAAGAUGAAAUGACUAGAAGGAUGACCUUUCCGUGCCUUUGUCUGGAGCCAGCCCUUCUCUUUCACUGCACACCUUUCCACAGAACAUGUUUUGAACUCUUGAACUGCUCAUUCCCUUCCCCGCACGUAUUGCUCAAGCUGCAGUUUAUCAUUAUAUGCCUCCAAAGACUGUGUUUCUUACAUUUGACAUAGAGAUAGAAUUUUUCAUAACCCUUUACUAGUCAUAAAUUUGAUUGUUAAGGGACCGGGUUAAUCUUAUUUCUAAUACCAGCAUCUGAUUCUGAAACCCUGAUUUAGGAGAGUUUCUCUUUCUGCUGCCUUCCUAAAAUGCAGGGUGGAAAAGUAUAAAAUAUGUCACCUGAUAUUGGAGGAUUGUUUAUUUCUGUUCAUUUUGUUCUGAAUAGUACCUAAGAGAUGCAUUUGAAAACUUAUCUUGUUUAUAUGUUUCUUCUGUUGCAAUUUCUUCCAUUACCUGAAAUAGUCGCUUUGGACAGCAAGCAAAGAAAUGCCCUUUCAUAGUGAGGGGGUGGAUGGGAAAGGGCCUUUGUAAGGAAGUAGUUUGGAGACCACUGGAGCAUAGCCAGAAGGAAUUAUCAUUUUGUAUUUAAGGAAUUUUUAUAAUUAGUAUCUCAUAUUGGCCUUUCUCAUAGCCAUUUAAUUGCAUUUUACUGAAAUUGUUUCAUUGUUUCUCCUCUAGCUUUCCAGUGCAUGGCACAUAGUAGGUACUCAAUGUGUGCUGAACUGAACUGCAGCUUUUAGGAAAAUUGGAAUAAUAGUUCCCAUCUGCCGAGUUUGCAGUGAGGAUUAAACAUGAGGAUUGCUCUGAGCCCAGCCCAUAAUGGAGCCCAAGACAAGCGAACAGAGAAAUGAGAAAAUGGUGACUCAGAAAGAUUAAGUAACUUGUUCAAGGAGACCAACUUUGUCUCUCCAGCCUCCUGCUUCCUGUCUCCCUCAAGGUGUGUUGCACUCAGGCAUGCUGAUAUUAUUUACCACAGAUACAGAAGCACAAAUUAGAUGGUCACUCGGGAUUUCCUCUUUUUGCCUUUUGGAGCCCAUGAAGUUUUAGGAAAGAAAGCGGGGAUAUGAAGCAAGAACAUGACUGUCAACUCUUCUAACUCUAUUUGACUUUCAAAAACUUUACCGGAUGGGUAAAAGGUAUGAAGGCGAGUAUAUGGCUAUUUCAGACAUUUUGGGCUUUGGCAAGAGUGGCCCCUUAGGCAGUGUUGACAAACAUGUAGCAUUCAGAUCAAGGGAGGUAAACAGGAUGAAGAUGCAGGAAGCUCCAGUGUUUUGAAGGCCCUUCAAAGGACAGUGAAUGGUGGUCCUACAGUGGAAUGAGCUUCCACACGAAGGACCUGUGCCCUUUGUGAAAAUGUAAAGCAAAGGCUGAUGCUUGACACCAGUCUUGGUGGCCGGCUAAAGAAUGCCACUUUGGGUAGAGGUGCUGCUGGAUAUGCACUAGGACUUCUUCCUUCUGUCCGAUUCUGUGCUAAUGUUUCCUGUGAUGAUUCAGAAUCCCAGCCCCCAUCAGAAGCCUCUCUGCUUAAAAUACAGAUUCUCGGGGCCUCUGUGGACACCAAUACACACUCGGUCCAGCGGUUGGGAGGGAGUGUGGGUGC